rnacentral:pre_miRNA from 1 species
AUAUUACUCCCUCCGUCUCAAAUUUUUUGUCUUAGGUUUGUCUAAAAAUAGAUGUAUCUAAAUACUAAAGCAUGACUAGAUACAUUCAUAUGUAGAUAAAUGUAAGACAAGAAUUUUGGAAGAGAGAGAGUAGAUA